UGCGUCCUUCUUUAAUCAUCUUUAUUCGGAAGGCUGCCGCAGAAAGACUAUGACUCAUGGGCUGUGUUCCUGUGUCUUGGGCUCAGGAAUUAAUUUGGUUACUGACAAAU
ensembl:snoRNA